AAAUUCUGAUUCCUCUUCAGUUUGCAUGAUCUUUCACCUUUUACUACAGAUUUCCAUGGAGAGGAACAAUUCUGAGUUCUUAGCUGAAUUUUUGAGGCCCUGCUACAGCAGGGC